AGUUUCUCGAUCCCGCUCGAUGAGCAUGGUAGGACAAAGCGCAACUUCCUAGUAUGGGAUUUUUUUUACCGACGAUCAAUAAUUAGACGAUGAAAACGAUGGUAACGGUGCUAAUGUAGAGCAUAUUUUAUUCGACGAGGGUGGGGGUAACCUUCAAAGGCUUGCGCCUGAGAAAGGCUUUGCUGGUAAGUCCGAUUCUUUCACGUUACUGCCGCGCUUUACAGCAUUUUUAUGGGCGCACGCGCUUGAUUACGACAAGAAACCGAGGGGUUAGGACGCCUCUCAUGUCAUUCUAACGAACGGGAAAUCCAGAUGCCGGCAACCCUCCAACCGCUGAUGGACCAACACUGUGGCGAAACAAAGAAACGAAAAAAUCUUGUUAGUCCCGCCU